AGAGUUUGAUCCUGGCUCAGAGUGAACGCUGGCGGCGUGCCUAAUACAUGCAAGUCGAACGGACAAGUAAGAGCUUGCUCUUAUGAGUUAGUGGCGCACGGGUGAGUAAUGUAUAGUUAAUCUGCCCUACACUGGAGGACAACAGUUAGAAAUGACUGCUAAUACUCCAUACUCCUUCUUAACACAAGUUAAGUCGGGAAAGUUUUUUCGGUGUAGGAUGAGACUAUAUUGUAUCAGCUAGUUGGUGAGGUAAUGGCUCACCAAGGCUAUGACGCAUAACUGGUCUGAGAGGAUGAUCAGUCACACUGGAACUGAGACACGGUCCAGACUCCUACGGGAGGCAGCAGUAGGGAAUAUUGCUCAAUGGGGGAAACCCUGAAGCAGCAACGCCGCGUGGAGGAUGACACUUUUCGGAGCGUAAACUCCUUUUGUUAGGGAAGAACAAUGACGGUACCUAACGAAUAAGCACCGGCUAACUCCGUGCCAGCAGCCGCGGUAAUACGGAGGGUGCAAGCGUUACUCGGAAUCACUGGGCGUAAAGGACGCGUAGGCGGAUUAUCAAGUCUUUUGUGAAAUCUAAUGGCUCAACCAUUAAACUGCUUGAGAAACUGAUAAUCUAGAGUGAGGGAGAGGCAGAUGGAAUUGGUGGUGUAGGGGUAAAAUCCGUAGAGAUCACCAGGAAUACCCAUUGCGAAGGCGAUCUGCUGGAACUUAACUGACGCUAAUGCGUGAAAGCGUGGGGAGCAAACAGGAUUAGAUACCCUGGUAGUCCACGCCCUAAACGAUGUAUACUAGUUGUUGCUGUGCUAGUCAUGGCAGUAAUGCACCUAACGGAUUAAGUAUACCGCCUGGGGAGUACGGUCGCAAGAUUAAAACUCAAAGGAAUAGACGGGGACCCGCACAAGCGGUGGAGCAUGUGGUUUAAUUCGAAGAUACGCGAAGAACCUUACCUGGGCUUGAUAUCCUAAGAACCUUGUAGAGAUACGAGGGUGCUAGCUUGCUAGAACUUAGUGACAGGUGCUGCACGGCUGUCGUCAGCUCGUGUCGUGAGAUGUUCGGUUAAGUCCGGCAACGAGCGCAACCCACGUAUUUAGUUGCUAACAGUUCGGCUGAGCACUCUAAAUAUACUGCCUUCGUAAGGAGGAGGAAGGUGUGGACGACGUCAAGUCAUCAUGGCCCUUAUGCCCAGGGCGACACACGUGCUACAAUGGCAUAUACAAUGAGACGCAAUAUCGCGAGAUGGAGCAAAUCUAUAAAAUAUGUCCCAGUUCGGAUUGUUCUCUGCAACUCGAGAGCAUGAAGCCGGAAUCGCUAGUAAUCGUAGAUCAGCCAUGCUACGGUGAAUACGUUCCCGGGUCUUGUACUCACCGCCCGUCACACCAUGGGAGUUGAUUUCACUCGAAGCCGGAAUACUAAACUAGUUACCGUCCACAGUGGAAUCAGCGACUGGGGUGAAGUCGUAACAAGGUAACCGUAGGAGAACCUGCGGUUGGAUCACCU
rnacentral:rRNA from 2 species